CGCGUAGGUGGUAGUGCAAGUCUGAGGUGGAAUCCUAUGGCUUAACCAUAGAACUGCCUUGGAAACUGCAUUACUUGAGUCAGUGAGGGGAGGGUAGAAUUCCUGGUGUAGCGGUGAAAUGCGUAGAUAUCAGGAGGAAGGCCGGUGGCGAAGGCGGCCCUCUGGCGCUGAACUGACACUGAGGCGCGAAAGCGUGGGGAGCAAACAGGAUUAGAUACCCUGGUAGUCCACGCCCUAAACGGUGGGCACUAGGUGUAGGGCUCGUAAGGGUUCUGUGCCGAAGCGAAAGCAUUAAGUGCCCCGCCUGGGGAGUACGGCCGCAAGGUUGAA
rnacentral:rRNA from 1 species